rnacentral:rRNA from 1 species
UACAGAGGUCCCAAGCGUUGUUCGGAUUCACUGGGCGUAAAGGGUGCGUAGGUGGUCGGGUAAGUCCGAUGUGAAAUCUCCAGGCUCAACCUGGAAAUGGCAUUGGAUACUAUUCGGCUUGAGGAGUGGAGGGGGGACUGGAAUUCUCGGUGUAGCAGUGAAAUGCGUAGAUAUCGAGAGGAACACCAGUGGCGAAGGCGAGUCCCUGGACACUUCCUGACACUGAGGCACGAAAGCUAGGGGGAGCAAACAGG